rnacentral:rRNA from 1 species
GACGAACCGUGCGAACGUUAUUCGGAAUCACUGGGCUUAAAGCGCGUGUAGGCGGAUGGGUACGUCGGUCGCUGAAAUCCCCCGGCUCAACCGGGGAACGGGCGCCGAAACGACCCGUCUGGAGGGACGUAGGGGGACCUGGAACUUCCGGUGGAGCGGUGAAAUGCGUUGAGAUCGGAAGGAACGCCCGUGGCGAAAGCGAGGUCCUGGACGUCUACUGACGCUGAGACGCGAAAGCUAGGGUAGCGGAACGGGA